UGAUUAGAAAAAGAAAGUCAUGAAGAGAUUUGCCAGCAUAAUCACAAUUUUUCACUAUUUCUUUUCAUUCCUGACUAGAUGAGAGAAUGCUACAGAUGGUCAGUUUUUCUCUCUUGCUGAAAUGUAGUUAAAGAAUUUGCAAGAACAGAGCCUGAUAAAAAUGGGCAAGACAGUGCAAAGGCCCAGGGCUAGAUUUUAGAGAUAUCACUCAUGAACAGACGAGGAAAUGGACAGUGGAAAACUUAGGUUUCGGUGGAAGGCUUAUGUGGCCCUAAAUAGUUAAGGCUGUUCCAACAGAGGCUUUAGGCACCCAGUGGAUGAGUUUCACGUAUUCUCUAAAUAGAGUUAGAAUAACCUAUUGAGAGUGGUGAUAGUAGUUAAGAUGUGUGCAAUGAUGUGUCACCCAACAUAGUGUAAUAAGGAUCUAAUCCCAUUUUUGAUAUUUAACGGCUGACAACUCUCAGGCCCACCGUGUCUCCUCUAUUUUUCCUCAACUCUGGGCAAAUUGAUUAAAAUGCCUGGGUGCUCACUUCUCUGGCAUUGAUGAUUUCACCAUGUACACUCCUGCCCUUGAAUGGGAACUUUACCACUGGCCUUACCUGUUGUUGGGAAUCAAAAUACAUGCCAUUUUUCUUUCCUAGCUCUCUCAAGUCAUUCCAGACCUGCUUGGGAGGCCUGCCUUGCUUUCACCAGAAAAGCAUCAGUUCUGAGCUAGAAGACAACACCUCAAAGAAGUAGAGAUGGAGAAGGAAGCCAAACAUAGCCACAGGGAGAAUUCCUGGAUCCUGGAGUUUCUCAUUAGAGACAUCACUGUGUUCCACACUAAAACCCUUUUUACCUCAAUGGAAUCAAAUAAAGAAAAUAUGCUUCUAGAACAGCAUGGAAGAAACUAAAUUUAUUUAUAAAAAUACAUAAAUAAGAUGUCAUCUUUGGAAGAAAGAACACUUACAUGCAUAUUAAAAAAUAAAGUCAAAUCCUGUCUUCCAAAUCAAAAAUCACUCCUUUUGCUGACAGUUUUUGUACUUGGAAUCCUGAUUAACAAUUCUUUUCUUACCUACGGUUGUCAUUUCAAAACACAGAACACCAGAGAAUGUAAAUGUCUGUUUUUGUUAAGAAACAAAUGCUUAUGUCGGUGCUGCCAAAUUCUAGAAAAAUAUCAAGGAAACAAUGUUUUCUUAUACCUUUCUAUGCCCCUUUUGGAAACAAAAUACAAGUAACAAAGAGAGUGGGUUGUUUUUGGAAUUCAUUAUCCAAGCAUGAAGAAUUUAGACGUCAGGAAGCCCUCACAAAUCCUCUCCAUUCUGCCUCAGAACAGAGUUGAAGGACAA